CGGGGUGAGUAAUGUCUGGGAAACUGCCUGAUGGAGGGGGAUAACUGCUGGAAACGGUAGCUAAUACCGCAUAACGUCGCAAGACCAAAGAGGGGGACCUUCGGGCCUCUUGACAUCGGAUGUGCCCAGAUGGGAUUAGCUAGUAGGUGGGGUAACGGCUCACCUAGGCGACGAUCCCUAGCUGGUCUGAGAGGAUGACCAGCCACACUGGAACUGAGACACGGUCCAG
rnacentral:rRNA from 1 species